UACAGAGGGUGCAAGCGUUAAUCGGAAUUACUGGGCGUAAAGCGUGCGUAGACGGUUAUUUAAGUCAGGUGUGAAAGCCCCGGGCUCAACCUGGGAAUUGCAUUUGAGACUGAAUAGCUAGGGUGCGAAGAGGAAGGACGGAAUUUCCGGUGUAGCGGUGAAAUGCGUAGAUAUCGUGAGGAACACCAGAGGCGAAGGCGGCUACCUGGACAAUUGCUGACGCUCAGGCACGAAAGCGUGGGGAGCAAACAGG
rnacentral:rRNA from 1 species